GGGGACAUGGGGUAAUGGCAUCCUGACGGGCUCCAGUCAGGAGAUGAUUAGAAACAGGGUCAUCUGAUUUGAUGAUGAGUGACUGGAACUAUGAUCCAGGAAGAGACCCGUAGAUCUGGGUUCAACUCCCAGUGUCCCCA
rfam:Thermoplasma acidophilum DSM 1728 complete genome